AUGAGGUCCAAUUUCAGUAUGGUUCUUUUAACUUCUCCCUUUUCGGAGUUCAAUUUCAACGAGGUUCUUAAAUUUCUUCAAUUUCAACGAGGUUUUUCAAUUAUUCAAUUUCAAAUUCCUACGAGGUUCGUUCAAUUUCUUCAUUCUUCUUUUGACCUAAACCUUAUUUGCUUAUGUUAUGAUGCUAUUUCAUUUUUGCCUAUUUUGUUGUCGAGAUUGAAGUGUUUUACUAUGUUUGCGAAUAGUUCCCUGCAUCCCAUUGACAAACCAUACCCCACACAUCAUUGCGCCAUAAAUUCUCCUUAA